UUCCUAAGAGUGUCAAGUUGUCAACUACUUGGGCACUUAAUGUCCAUGAUCAAUGGAUAAGGUGGGAAGAAGUGGCUAAACUUCUUUUUCAGAUACGAGAAUUGCAUUAAGAAGGGACCCCAUUAACUUCACAACACACGAAAUAUGUUUCACCAGAUCCAAAUCUCUAGCCUUUCUAGCUAGUCCAUUGGACACAUGAGACUGACAGGAGAAAUAAAAGCUUUUAGCCUCUUUAAUAAUGAUUCAACUAUACAGGAUCAUUAGAUCCUCUAAUUAUUUAAUUUUCUUUUCUCUUUUUUAUACCAAAACCUUAAUGUAAACACAACCUAAAUAUAACAUAAUAUGAACACAAACAGGAAAGAGAAGAAUUCUCACCCUGUGAUUUCUUACAAUAAUCCAAAUAAUACAAGACAGAAUAAAAAGGUCAUUCAAUUUAUAGGUCAUUAAUUUAACUUGGUAACUUCAUUCUUAAAAUCCAGCUCCAAAAAAUAGACUCUAAUAGUAUAAUCAAUUCAACGGCAUUGCUCUUGAGUUCUGGAAUUGAAUUGUCUCAGAGAUUUGAAAUUCAUAAUGUUUUGGUUCGAUUCUGGGCUUGAUUUGGAUUUCUUGUAUAUUUCAAUGUUUUUGGGGGCGUAAGAAGCAUAUUAUUUGCAAGCAAAACACGCGAGGAAUUACAUCCUCCUUUCAUGUCUAAUACUGUUUCAUGGAAAACCUUCAAAACUUUGAUUUAAAAGCGAAAAUAUGACGAAUGAAUAAUAAAAAAAUAAAAGUGAAAACAAAAAAUUAUUCUCUUUACAUUGUAGGCUCCGUUUGGGAGUAUGCUUUAAAAAGUCAAUUUUUUUUUUUAAAAUGUUGAUUAAAAAAGUCAAUAUUUUUUGACUUUUUUGCUUUUGUGACUUUACUUUAGCUAAAAUUAAUUAAAAAAUAAAAAGCAAAAAAGCUAACUCUGAUUGAUUUUCUUGCUUAUUUUAAGGAAAAAAAAACAAAAAAAAAUUGAAAAAGCUGAUGCCAAAUGGAGCUGUAGUAUUUAGGUAAGAUAUUUUUUUCCCCAGAAAGUUGUACUUUUUUAUAAUACUAAAUUACCCAUUGGGUUGGUACAAGAAAAAAAAAUAGUAGUAAUAUCUCGAAAUUAUGGAGGGAAAAGUCGCCGUUGUAACCAAAAAUAAGAGAAGAGACUUGAAUUUCUCUCCAUUUUCAUUUUCCCGAAACCCUCCAAAACUUUCCGUCUUUUAAAGAUCUUUAUAAGGUUUGAGUACGUUUUUAUUCGAUUAUUAAGUAAGAACUUCAUAAUGAAAAAUAAAAAAAUAGUAGAGUAAUAAAAAGUAAGAUGGAUUAUAGAUUUUUUUGACAAGGAACGUUGUAAUAUUGUAUUAAUUAUUAAAAUUACCCAUAAAGUGGCGACGAAAGAAAAAAAAAGUCGAAGAGUAAGAAAAUUACUGAUAGAACACAAAAGUCGUCACUGUAAUCUAAUCAACUCAAGAAUAGAGGAAAAAUACAAGGUUCAGCACCAAUUUAAAAAAUAACUUUCAAUUCGCCUUAUAAUGGUUUUCACCAUGCCGUUGGCAAUCCAUUUUUUAUUAAGAGGGCGUGCUACUAACCACUUGGAACUACAAAAUUAUGAAAUGAAGAUUUCUUGCCGUAAGGGCAAAGCAGGGGAACUUUUACUGUUUUGUAGAGGUGACAGCAUUAUGAAUAGUAGUUAUUAAAAAUUAAUGGAUAGAAUUUAAACGAAUGAUUUAUGGGGUGGGAGAGGGUGACAGUUUUUAAGUGACCAUUGUUAGAAAUUAAUAACACUAAUAAAUCGUUUUUUUUAAUUCUAUCCAUUAAUUUUGAACAAUCUGACAUCAUAAGAGUGCCACACCUUACAGACAACAUGAGUUUCUGCUGCCCCUUAUUAACUGCCGGAUAUUCUAAUUCAAUUAGUGAGCUGGAAAUCCUUCCUAAGAGUGUAAGUUGUCACCUACCUUGGGCAUUAAUUGGUCCAUGAUCAAUGGAUAACGGUGGGAAGAAGUGGCUAAACUUCUUUUUCAGAUACGAGAAUUGCAUUAAGAGGGACCCCAUUAACUUCACAACACACGAAACAUGUUCUACCCAUCGGAUACUGUUUCACCAGAUCCAAAUCUCUAGCCUUUCUAGCUAGUCCAUUGGACACAUGAGACUGACAGGAGAAAUAAAAGCUUUUAGCCUCUUUAAUAAUGAUUCAACUAUACAGACCAUUAGAUCCUCUAAUUAUUUAAUUUUCUUUUCUCUUUUUUAUGCCAAAACUUUAAUGCAAACAUAACCUAAAUAUAACAUAAUAUGAACAUUGAGAAGAAUUCUCACCCUGUGAUUUCUUACAAUAAUCCAAAUAAUCUAUACUGGAAUUUUACAGGUCAUUCAAUUUUAUAGGUAAUGAUUUAAAUUGGUAGCUUUAUCUUAAAUUCACGUCCCAAAAAAUAGUACUCUAUAGUUUAACGGCCUAAUAAAGUAACUUGGCCCAAAAGAAUAAAAGCCCGUGCAUUAGGGGUGUUUAAAAAACUGGUAGUAUUGAUAAAUCGGUUCAAACUGAAUCACAUGAUUUGAUUUGGCUUUUUAUUGUCUUAAUGGCUCUAGUUUGGUUUCGGUCCCGAUAAAAAGAAAGAGAGAACUAGUCUAUACGAUCCUAACUUUGGUUUUUUUGUUUUAGAAUUGCAAUCAAACUAAACUGAAACGAUUUUUUAUGUGGUACGGGUGUUGAUAUCUAUCAACUAAGUCAAAUUUCCGGUAGAGUUUUGCCUAAAUAGGUGUCAACCUAAGGUCCUGAUUUCCACCACAUACAUCUCUCAUUCCUCUCCGCUAUAAACCAUUGCACGUUACCACCGUUGUGCAAUUUGGAUAUCAUGUUAUUAUUGAAUUUUCCUACCAACAGGCUAGAACGAAAACCGAACCAAAAUUAGACCGUUUUUGUUGUUCAGUUCCACAUAAAUUAAUAGUUUGAAUUGGUUCUCAAUUUUUUAAAAUUGUUACUAUUUACUCAGUUGUUUCUGAUUUUGCACUAAUCCAAUCCAAUUCAAUCCAGACCGUUUAUAUUCCGACAACUAUAGGUGCUCAACUUGUAAUGGACCACAUAAGUGAACCGUAGCAAAAGAAAAGAAAAACCUAAAAAUGACCAGACCAAAGAAGAGGGAAAAAAAUCAAAUCAGUGAAAGUUUUUAUUACAAACUGAUUCAACAAAAAUGUACAUCUUAUCCACCCUGAAACUUUCGUAAAAACAAGGUUUCACACAUUGACUAGACGAAGAAUCGUUUGAUAGAUUUUGUACAUGUUUUGGACACCACUAUUGGCAAGAAUUGAAGGGGGUUUGAGUCGUUCUGUCAAUUGAAACAUUAAAUAAAGUUUUGAAUUACACGGAACUAACCUCGAACUUUCCUUUCUAAUAAAUAUUUCAAAAAUAUCAUUUAACCUUUCCGACUUUGAAAUUAUUAUCAAGAAAUUGUAGUAUUCUAAGAAAAAAAGAAGGAACAAUUUCUUAUCAACUGAUUUCGUUAAAUUUGAUAAUAAAGUUUAAUUUUAACCCUAACCAAACUUAGCCUAAGAGAGAAUGCAAAUACUAGGUAUACAGUUUUGAACACAAUUCAAACUACAUCUUCUUAUAAAAGAUGGUCUUACAAUAGGAUCCACGUAGCAUGGGACUCACCUCUCAUGAAAUAAGUGUGGUUGGAAUUAUAGUUACAAAGUGUGUACUCCAACUCUAAACAAAACUACUAACUGCGGUUAAGGUUAAGGUCUUGUCAAGAGUUAAGACUGUCGAUGACACUUGUGUUCAACUAAUCAAGUGAAAAUAAGUCUCGACUUUGUUUUUUAACUCCACAACAAACAAAAUAUCUUCUACCGCACAGUCAAAUCACGUGAGAUAUGGCGGAAACAUCUUUUUUUCUCUCUUUAAAUUUUGAUAGGUAAUUUCAGUAUUAUUAAUACUAUGCGCCCAAUUAUUUUUUGUUACUCAUUACUUCUCAUCAAAAUUUAUUAUUUUUUAGUGAGAAACAAAAGAUUCGUAAUAGAAAAAAAAUCUCACUAUAUUUCAUUUACAUUGUAAUCCAAAAAUAACAGAGACUUGAAUUUCUCUCCAUUCUUAUCAUUUUUAACGAAACCCUUCAAAACUUAAUUUCUGGUAAGAACGUGAAUAUGUGAAAGAUUCUUUAGAAAUUUGAGUUGUUAUAGAUAAAGUAAAAAAAUCAUAAUGAAAAAUAAAAAAAUAGAGUAAUAAAAAGCAAAGAUGGAUUACGGAUUUUUUGCAAGAAAGUUAUAAUUAUUUUAUAAUUAUUAAAUUACCCAUGAAGUGGUGACGAAGAAAAAAAAAUUGAAGUAAGAAAUUAUUGAUAGAACACAAAGUCGUCACUUUAAUUCUAAUCAAACUCAGAAUUAGAGAAAAUACAAAGGUUCAGUACACAAAUUUAAAAUAUAACUUCAAUUCGGCUUACAAUGGUUUUCACAUGCCGUGGAAUUCAUUUUUUUAUAAGAGAGUGUGUACCAACCACUUUGGAACUAACACAAUUAUUAGAAUGAGGAUUUUCUGCAGUAAGUGCAGCAGGAACUCAUAUUGUCUUAUAGAUGUGGCAACUUAGUAAUAAACCCGACUUUUCAGUUUUGGGUUAUAUUGAAAGAUUAAUAAUUGUGGGAAAAAUUAAAAGAUGAUAUUUAAAUUAGAUGAUAUUAAUGCUAAUUAGAAGUUGGAGGGGCUGAAGUGUAAUUUGUCGCCGAAAACAUUCAGCUGAAAGAGCGCCAAAAGAAGAAAAAGAAAAAGAAAACAAAAAAAGAAAAAAAAAAAGAAAAUAAUAAUAUAAAAAAUAAAAAAAUAAAAAAAUAAUAAGAUGUUAGAGAUAGAUAUACUUAUUAAAAUCAUAAAUAGGAUUAGGAGGAAUCAAGAGCAGAGGGAAAAGAAAGAGAGGGAAAGAAAGAGAAGAGAGAGAGAACUAAAUGAGAGAAAAUUCUAUGGUGUGGGUAAAGUUUGAUCAUAAGAUAGGGGUCUGCAGAUCACGAUGAGAUGAUUGUAAAGACAAUGUGAAAUUUUAUUGAUGACUAAUGGGAGCAGAUCUUCAUAUCAAUGGUGGUUAAUGUUCAAUUGGAGGUAAGCAAAAUGUUAUAAAUAGCUUUCUAAACUCCGGUGUGUUUUUAAAAUUAUAUGAUUUGUAUCCUUUGAGCAUGGUGCUAUCUGUUGGAAAUCCAUGGUAUUUUGUUUGGCAUCGUGAUAGUAUGAUGUUAUUUUGAUGGCUAAAUGUUAUGGAAUGAAAUGAUACAUGUACGAGUGGUAUCCGCCAAUAGUUCCACUAUGGACUGGAAAAAGCCGAAAGCUAGGAGACGGGAUUGAGGCCAAUCAAUAGUAAUUAUUCAGGAAAGACAUGUAUGAGGUUUUGAUGAAAUAUUGAUUCGUGUGCACAUCUGACAUUUGAUGUUGAGCCAUUAUUGUUUCGUGAGCAUAUUCCUGUCGUAUUUGUAUAUACUUCCUGUUUAAAAUGAUUUCGUUCAGGAGGACGUGGAAGUUCGGAUAGUACGAGAUGGGGUCGAGUGAAAGACUUAAAGGGGGGAAUAUUUUUUUUUUGAUCUAUGUAUUAAUUAUAUUUGGAGACAUUGUAAAAAUUAAACAUUUGGCGACUAUUGAAUAUUUGAAAGGAAAUGUGCUCUGAUUGUUAUUGAAGAAAAAUACGGAGAAUUAGGUAAUUAAUUAACGGACGGGAGGGUCGGGUCGUCACAGCUUAUGAAUGGUUAGUAUUAAAAUUAUGAUAAAAUUUAGAAUGAUUUAUUGGGUGGUCGAGGGUGACAGUUUUAAGUGAAUCACUUGUUAGGAAAUUAUAACACUAAAUAAAUCUUUUUUUAAAUCUAUCCAUUUAAUUUUUACACUGACCAUUCAUAAGCUGCCACCUCUACAAAAAAAUGCGACAUGAGUUAUGCUGCCCUAUACUGCAGGAUAUUCUAAUUCAGAUAUUGAGCUGAAUCCUUCCUAGAGUGUCAAGUUGUCAACUAUUGGGCACUAAAUUCCAUGAUCAAGGGAUAAGGUGGGAAGAAGUGGCUAAACUUUCUUUUCCUGAUACGAGAAUUACAUUAAGAAGGGACCCCAUGAACUUCACAACACACGAAAUAUGUUCUACCCAUCGGAUACUGUUUCACCAGAUCCAAAUCUCUAGCCUUUCUAGCUAGUCCAUUGGACACAUG
rnacentral:lncRNA from 1 species